rnacentral:rRNA from 1 species
UACGAGGGGUGCAAGCGUUAAUCGGAAUUACUGGGCGUAAAGCGUGCGUAGGCGGUUUGUUAAGCAAGAUGUGAAAGCCCCGGGCUCAACCUGGGAACUGCAUUUUGAACUGGCAGGCUAGAGUACUGUAGAGGGUGGUGGAAUUUCCAGUGUAGCGGUGAAAUGCGUAGAGAUUGGAAGGAACAUCAGUGGCGAAGGCGGCCACCUGGACAGAUACUGACGCUGAGGCACGAAAGCGUGGGGAGCAAACAGG